rnacentral:rRNA from 1 species
GACGAACGCUGGCGGCGUGCCUAAUACAUGCAAGUCGAACGCAGUGGGGACGGGUGAGUAACACGUGGGUAACCUCCCAUCAGAGGGGAUAACACUUGGAAACAGGUGCUAAACCGAUACUGAUGGAUGGACCCGCGGUGCAUUAGCUAGUUGGUGAGGUAACGGCUCACCAAGGCCACGAUCCCUAGCUGGUCUGAGAGUAUGAUCAGCCACACUGGGACUGAUACACGGCCCAGACUCCUACUGGAGGCAGCAGUUGGGAAUAUGGAACAAUGGGCGCAAGCCUGAUGCAGCCAUGCCGCGUGGAUGAAGAAGGCCUUCGGGUUGUAAAGUACUUUCAGUCGGGAGGCGUUACCUACAGAAGAAGCACCGGCUAACUCCGUGCCAGCAGCCGCGGUAAUUC